GACGAACGCUGGCGGCGUGCUUAACACAUGCAAGUCGAACGGAGCUAUUUAUUUCGGUAGAUAGCUUAGUGGCAAACGGGUGAGUAACGCGUAGGCAACCUGCCCUCAGGAUGGGGACAACGGCUCGAAAGAGCCGCUAAUACCGAAUGAGGUAACUCUUCCACAUGGAAGAGAUACUAAAGAUGGGUCAAACCAUCGCCUAAGGAUGGGCCUGCGUCUGAUUAGCCAGUUGGUGAGGUAACGGCUCACCAAAGCGACGAUCAGUAGCCGGUCUGAGAGGAUGAACGGCCACAAUGGGACUGAGACACGGCCCAUACUCCUACGGGAGGCAGCAGUGGGGAAUCUUCCGCAAUGGGCGAAAGCCUGACGGAGCAACGCCGCGUGAGUGAAGAAGGUCUUCGGAUCGUAAAGCUCUGUUGUCGGGGACGAAAGAGUAGACGAGGAAAUGCGUCUACUA
rnacentral:rRNA from 1 species